rnacentral:lncRNA from 1 species
CCCUUCACCCUGCAAAUUAGUACAGCUCCAAGGCUUCAGCCAGUCUUAAUUUGGCCUGAGUUCUGCAGGAUUUAAAUAAUUCCACUUGUAUUCAAUUGAGUAUUUUUGCCCCAGUUGCUCACUUAAACAAGCAUACCGCUUCCAUGGACCACUGGUCUGCCCCAACAACAAAACCACCGAGAUAACUUGGAAAGCACUUAGAAGGGUAUGCAUUUUGUGUCUUGGCUUUCCUUUCAGGUGGCAAGCGACUUUCUAUUUUUAAUGAAGGCUCUAGAGUUCAGGCUCCCAAUCUUAAACAAGAACAGAACUGUUAACAGGAAAUUCUUGACUCCAACCAAAUACAGUUAAACCAGGCCCCACAAAUACCCCAGAGAUGCAUUUUAAAUAAAAGGACACAUUCUACUCGUGUAAAAGCACACUGAUUCCCAGACCGUCUGCGGGCCGGAUUUAGAAGGCCAUUGGGCUGGAUCUGGCUCCUGGGCCUUAGUUUGCCUACCCAUGGACUAACCCAUAUAAGAAAUCAUGACACCCUAAUCAGCACAGUAAGGAUUAUACUUUGAGCUACAUCUGAAGACAGUUUGGAAGCGUCAACUGGUGCAGAAUGAGUGGCCAGGGUGCUCACGGGUAAGACAGUUUCAGAAUAUUAUCCUUCACAUCUGCAGUACAUGGACCGUUGCUUUGCCUUGAUAAUGGACUGGGUGAGGUGGACUUGUGGCAAGGUAAAAAGAUUCUGGGAGUUAAUCUAUAAUGAACUUAAAAAGAUAUUUAAGUAUACUUUUCCUAAAAGACCAGAGACAUUUUUGCUAGGUCUGGUGGGAAAAGAAAUUAAAAUAAAACCAGAACUUGUUCAUGUAUGCCACAGCCGCCGCAAGAACUUUACUGGCCCAAAGAUGGAAAACACAAGAUUUACCAACCAUCCAGAAGUGGCAGGUGAAGAUGAUAGAUUUUGCGGAACUUGCCAAAUUGACAGGAAGGAUCCGGGACCAAGAGGACCAGAGAUACAAUAACAAUUGGAAUAAAUGUAUUGAAUAUAUAAAGGAGAACAAAAAUAUUAAGACACUAGCAGGACUGGAAUAACACCUCCAAUGUAAAACAGAGUUAUGACAAUAAUAUAUGCAAAAAGUAUGUGACGUGUAUACCAGCAGUUGGGAGGGAGGGCAGUCAGGACUCGGCAGAGUCAAAGGAAUUAUAAUGUGACAAUAAGGAUUGUUGGAAAAAGAAUUACAUGUUGAAAACAAUAAAAAUUUAUUUGCAAAGGUAAUGGACUGGAUGAGAAGCAACCAGCAGGCUCAGUCCAAAUGAAGACAUGCCCUGUUAGUGGGCAGUCCCAUAGACCUGUUGGAUGGCAGGUUGCCUGCCCUUGAUGAGGCUACACUUCCUCUGAAGGAGCGAGGAACCUUGGGGUUGAUUCCAGAUCCUUUGCUCAAGGCUCAGGUAGCCUUGGGGCGGCUGAGUGCCUUCCAUCAGCUUUGUCUGGUAGCCCAGCUUGCACCCCUAUCUGGGCAAGGACAGCCUAACUUCUGUUAUCUGUGCUCUGGUAUCCUCUAGGUUAGAUUACUGUAACACAGUAUAUGUAGGGCUGCCUCUGAAGAUGGUUUGGAAACCUGAGCUGGUGCAGAAUUUGGCCAGGUUAUUCACUGGGGUAAGACGGCUUGAGCAUGUUUCACCAAUCUUGGCCCAACUGCAUUGGCUCAGUUCAGAGAGCUGGUUUUGUCCUAUAAAGCCCUAAACAGCCUCGUAUGAACCGACCAGGGCCCUGCAAUCAUCAUCUGAGGUCCUUCGUUAUGUGCCACUUCCAUGAUAGGUCAAGUGAGCGGCAACAUGAGAAAGAGCCUUUUCUGUGGUGGCUCCCUCCCCUGGCACCUUCAUUACAUAUCAUUAGUGCCAAGUUAAAACGUUUCUCUAUAACCAGCCCUUUGGCUGAUUAAACAAUCUAUGGCCUUUUAAAUAUGUUUGUUGGAGGGAAGGGGUUAUUGAUUAGUUAUGUAUUUUGUGUUCUCAUUUUGUUUUUUUAUGUUAUGCACCAGCCUGCUGUCUUUGGAUGGAGGUUGGUAUGCAAAUUUAAUAAAUAGUAAAAUUUAUUAAAUACUAUGUUUUGUCUUAAAGACUCCUGAGAUGCUGGGGUGCUAAUCCCAGUGAAAAAAAGACAGUCACGAACCCAAGAAAUUACACAGGACGAAAGAAAUUACCGUGAAAAUCCCUGAAAUGAGAAGUAAUUGACUAUAGAAUAACAAAAAUCAAAAAAUAAACUAGAAUUAAAGACUUAAUGAGAUGCCGGUUAAGUGAUAUCAAACAAGCUCAAGAGUAGGGCUGAAAAUGCUUCCUUGAGUUUACAAAGAUGGUAUGAAACCUCAAUGACAAGUUUUAAACAUUUAAGAUAAUCCAGCAGUAGUGAUAAGAAAUUGAGGUUUUAAAGUUUCAAACUCAAAAAACAGGGCAGAAACUCAAAAAAGUUUUAAACAAAACCCUGUUUAAGAGAACCAAGCAGUACUAAUAAGAAAUUGAGAUUUGAAGUUUCAACCAAACUCAAAAACAGGGCUGAGGCGCUCCUGGCUGCUGAUGUUAAAGAAAGGUAUGAAAACCUCAAUGACAAGUUUUAAAUAUAGCCCUAUUUAAGAGGACCAAGCAAUAGUAAUACAAAAUUAAGGUUUGAAGUUUCAAACAAACUCAAAAACAGGGCAGAGACUCAAACAAGUUUUAAGCAUAGCCCUAUUAAGAAAUUGAGGUUUUAAGUUUCAAACAGACUCAAAAACAGCUGAAGAGCUCCUGACUGCUGAUGUUAAAGAAUGAUAUAGGGUGUUCCCAAGCACAGGUUUUUAUACUGUAAGGUGAAAGAAUUUUUAAAGGGACAGACUAUCUAGUUCAAACAUAGGGCAUAGUCGCGAAAGUUUGUAAAGAAUAACAAGAAUAUUGUUUAAAUAGAGUUAUAAGAGAUUACAAGAAGGAACUAAAGUCAAUAUAAGAGUUGAGACCUGACGGAAUUAAGGAAGCAAAUCUAAAAAUCCAAUGCCUUUCCUUCUGUAGUAAUUUCUUUCUUAAAAUAUCCGUAUUUAUCUCAGGAGUUUGAUGUUUAUAAAUGAUAAAUCAUCUGAAAUCUGUUGCCCUGUUUUAGAGUUUGUUUGAAACUUCAAAUCUCAAUUUCUUAUUACUACUGCUUGGUUCUCUUAAAUAGGGUUUUGUUUAAAACCUUUUUCAGUUUCUGCCCUGUUUUUUGAGUUUGUUCGAAACUUUAAAACCUCAGUUUCUUAUCACUACUGCUGGAUUAUCUUAAAUCGGGCUAUGUUUAAAACUUGUCAUUGAGGUUUUCAUACCUUCUUUGUAAACUCAAGGAAGCAUUUUCAGCCCUGCUCUCGGGGUGCUAAUCCCAGACUGUUUGUAGUUGUACAAUUCAGAUCUAUUUAGGAAUGCACAGAAAUUCCAGCCAGGUAUUUGAAAUGAAUUCCCUUUAAUAAAACCCUCACAAUCCAAGAAUAAGUCCAGGUAUAUAUGCAGAGUUUGCCAUCAAUUCCACUUAAAGUAGAAGCAUAUCCCAUACAGUAAAAUAUACAUGACUGUAUAAGCAAUUUCUUUGCUAGCAAUUGAGAUCUAAUCAGUAUAUUUGAAAAGAAAAUUAUGGUUCUCAUUUGAGAAAAAGCCAUGUAAGCUUGAUGGGACAAAUUUAGCUCCCUGCUGGGGAAGCUUGUAAAAACAUAUAGAUGCUUGGAAAAGGUUUUGUUUUCAUUUUCUACAUGUUGUGUUUAAUGUAUCUUAAAUAGUGAUGUAUUCUGCAGUGAUGUGGAAUCAUGAGGCUGCUAUACCUGCCUAACAACAGUAGACUUUACAAUCGGGCUUACAAGCUAUAACCUUUCCCCGGGGGAGAUUAAAUCAAUUAUCAUAUAUAAAGGUAGGAUUUCUGAUGUGCACAGUUUGGAGAUUUUUUCCCCCUCUUCAAGUUAUGGGCAAUAAACCAGAGGAAUGAUUUAUGCAGUGGAAGAGAAUCAUGUCUGUACUCUCAGUAUGCCUAGAGAGACCUCUGCAAAAUCUUUUCUGCAGACCGGUCGCUCCAGUGUCUCAAAGCAGCAUCUUGUGCACUUGUGAUAAUAAUAAUAAUAAUAAUAAUAAUAAUAAUAAUAAUAAUGAUUUUUUAUUUAUAUCCCACCCUACCCAGCCAAAGCCGGGCUCAGGGCGGCUAACAACAAUAAAAUAAUACAACAUUCUAAAAUCAUUUCAUUAUAAAAUUAAUUCAAAUCAAAUUGAUGGCAACCAUUGGGCUAGAGUUCUGUGAAGAUUGCCAAAGGAGGGAGUCAGGUUGCACCUUGACCAAAGGCCUGGCAGAACAGCUCCGUCUUGCAGGCCCUGCGGAAAGAUGUCAAGUCCCGCAGGGUCCUAGUCUCUUGUGACAGAGCGUUCCACCAGAUCGGAGCCACAGCCCAAAAAGCCCUGGCUCUGGUUGAGGCCAGCCUAACCUCUCUGUGGCCUGGGACCUUCAAGAUGUUUUUGUUUGAAGACUGUAUGGUCCUCUGUGGGACAUACCAGGAGAGGCAGUCCCGUAGGUACAUCUCUGUGUUACAUCGAAGAUCACUGAGCCAGGCCCAGUCCAAGGCUCCCCCCCCCCCGGUGAAGGACAAUGUACCCCCUCAAUCUAUGAUCAAUCCCAUAUUAUUGACUCUGCAGUGAUCAGUUCUGUCCUGGCUUCUGAGGCUGUGUUUUGGGAAAGUUUGUUUCACUUGGGCGGAGAGGGGUGCUUCUGAGAGUGAAAAUGGCAAGAAAGUUUCAUCAUUUUCUGCUCACUGCCACCCCUUCUGCGCCGAUGGCUGCUUUGGCAGUAAAUAACAAACGGAUUGACAGUUCUGGCACCUCUCAGGUAGGCACCAUUGUCAUUACAGUGGUACCUCGGGUUACAUAUGCUUCAGGUUACAGACUCCGCUAACCUAGAAAUAGUAAGAACUUUGCUUCAGGGUGAGAACAGAAAUCGCACGGCGGCGCAGCAGCAGCGGGAGGCCCCAUUAGCUAAAGUGGUGCUUGGGGUUAAGAACAGUUUCAGGUUAAGAAUGGACCUCUGGAACGAAUUAAGUACUUAACCCGAGGUACCACUGUAUAAGACAACAAAGAGCGGCAUUCAUGGUGAGUUCUGGCACCCCUUUUUCUAGAAAAGUAGCGCUGGCAAUGUCUGAACCAUGGGUGGUGUGUUUCAUUUUGCCAGAUCUCCUGGGCAUCUCUUGCCUAGGUUGUGUGGCAUUAGUGUGAAGUGGCAGUGGUGGCAGGUUCUGGUGAGAUCUCGCUGGAAAUCACCAUGGAUGCUAGUGCCACAUCUCUCCCCAGUGGCAGAGGUGGCGAGGUAGGCAGGGUGCCAUCAGGGUUACCACCUUGGAGACUUCCACACAUGACCCGGAAGCUGUACGCCGGCUCCCUCGGCCAAUAAAGCGAGAUGAGCGCUGCAACCCCAGAGUCGGCCACGGCUGGACCUAAUGGUCAGGGGUCCCUUUACCUUUACCAUCAGCUGCAUAUCCUCCUGGAAAUUCCCAACUUCCCAAAGUUUACAAUGUCAAGGAGGAUGAAAAUUGCCAUUGAAUUCUUUCCUAAAGCAAAUUUUAAAACAAACAAAUCUCUGUAAAACUUUAAUUUGAAAAAUCAAAUAAAUAUCAAACAUAAAUAAUAAAAACAAGAUUCCAGGGAAUUUCUUGGACUUCCAUCCUCCUCUUUGUGGGUCCUAUUAUUAAUCAUUUCCUCCUGCAUCCUUUAUGGUGACCCAAAUCUUUUACAUCUCCACUGUGCCCAGAAUUCACCCUUAAACUACAAGUGAUAUUCCAAUCCUACUAACGAUUUUAACUGUUUACAAUGGUCUUUAAGAUAAGUUACAAAUUUUCCCCAUUCUUUAUUAAAAUUUUGGACUUCCUGAUUUCUCAUUCCGGUCUUUUUAGCCAUUUCAUCAACUUCAUCUGCCAUUCUUCUCUGGUAGGAACUUUAUCUUCUUUCCGUCUCUGAGCCACUUUCCUAAAAAACAAAUUUCUGAUUGAGAAAUUGAGAGGGGCUAACUUAGAGAGAAACCCACAAGGAGGAAGAGGUGUUUACCGGGUCUCCCGGGACAUUUCUCAGAUUCUGCACAUCUUGACCGUAGGAACAGAUCUAGUGUUGUAACAUUCCUGCCAAAUAUUAUUUCCAGAUCUUUGGAGGAAACAGCUCGUUGAUACAGGAGAAGAAGAUCAGGAGCCAAGCAGGUUUCAGCUGGCAACAACGUUAUGCAAGAUCUGGACUGCAAGGUGAAAAUUCUGUUCUCCACUUUUGCUUAAAACAAUGUACUAAAGCAACGCGAAGCCAUUUUGUAGGCGCACGUUAAUUAGCCGAAUUGUGUGUAUGUAUUAUAAGUGUGUACCAACACAUGAGUAAUAAAAGCACUUAAAAAGAGCCCACGUUCUAUUUCUUCUGUCUAAAAUCUUUAUUCUUUGUAUGAAUACCUGUGGUAGUUUCCUUGGCAGACUGCGUGCUGUUCAGUGUUCAGAAUUUGCACAUUAUUGUGUGAAAAAUGCAGAGAGAGAAAUGUGUGUAAAGAGAACGGAUUCAUUUUUAAAAGAAUUGCUGUAGCAGGAACUCGACAUAUUCAUGAAUAUUCCACAUGCAUGCCUAUAUUACGCUCCUACAAACUGUUGCUUAAUCUGAGCAUUCCUUCCACUCCAAUCCUCCCCUGAAAACAAAAUGAGGUUUUCAAAGUAAGCAAACCAGAUAAACUUAAAACAAAAAUCUCAAUUCUGUUUAAUCAGGUCUGCCACUCGAAUAAUAAAAUAAAUGAAAAUAAACGAGUGUACAGAAAGAAAGAUACUUCCAGUACUUCAUUUAUUUUCUUGGCCCUCUAAAUCGUGCCACCGUGAGGGUGUUUCCUGCCCCCUUUAUUUAUUACAAAUUAUUUAUAUCUCAUCUUUCAGGAUACAGCUCCUUCCAAGGCAGCUAACAUCAAUGUACAUAAAAAAAAUAAGCAAUAUCAACACAUAGCACAAACUUUUUCUCUGCAGGGCUCAGUUGAGAUGGGUGAAAAUAACUGAGGCCCACCCGUCUCAAAAUAUUGGCCAGGGAGUAAAACCAGUCACAAAAUGGUGGAAGAGGCUGGCAUAAGCAGUUGGGAAUUGCUGCCAUAUUUUUCUACCGAUGGAAAUUGGAAAAUUCUUUACAACAGUGUUUUGCCUUGUGGCAAAGAGUUCCAUAGAGGGACAUGGGUGGUGCUGUGGGUUAAACCACAGAGCCUAGGAAUUGCCAGUCAGAAGGUCCGCGGUUCGAAUCCCCGCGACGGGGUGAGCUCCCAUUGCUCGGUCCCUGCUCCUGCCAACCUAGCAGUUCGAAAGCACGUCAAAGUGCAAAGAGAUAAAUAGGUACCGCUCCGGCGGGAAGGGUAAAUGGCGUUUCUGUGCACUGCUCUGGUUCGCCAGAAGCUGCUUAGUCAUGCUGGUCACAUGACCCGGAAGCUGUACGCUGGCUCCCUCAGCCAAUAAAGCGAGAUGAGCGCCGCAACCCCAGAGUCGGCCACGACUGGACCUAAGGGUCAGGGGUCCGUUUACCUUUACCUAAAGAGUUCCAUAGUGCACUCUUCCUCAAGCUACGUACAGACAUUUUCUCUGGAGCUAUUGUGGCACAGCCUCCCCACUUUAAGCAGAAUUUGCUGAUCCGGAGGCUCAGGUGGAGCUUUCGUCAUUUAUAUUUUCCCCUUCCCACUCUCACAUGCAUCUCAAAAUAUCUUCACCCCUCUCCUGUCUCCACCCAGCCCAGUGCUGGAUUGACAUAUAAGCUAAACGAGCUAUAGCUUAGGGCCCCAUUCUCUUGGGGGCCCCCCAAAAAUUAAAAAACUGGAUGUACAUUUCCAAAAUAUAAGAUAAAAAACAAAUAAAAUAAAACCUAAAUACAGCAACAGUGUUUUGCAUUGUGUAGGCCCCUAGGAUGUAAAUAAUGGGCCCCGCCUGCUAGCCUGCUCCCUAAAAUAUCUCUGGUUUGCUCAUAUCUAUAUAUAGGGUGCCUACAUUCUGCAUGGACUGCUUGCAUGGCCACAUGUGCAAAUGGCUUUAGAUACCUAUUAGGUUCAUAAAUUACCAUAUAGAAUAUAUUCAACACACACAAAAAAAAAAACAGCAGCAAUUUGUUGUUGACAAAUGACAGCUGGACAUAUAAAGGGCCCCAUUACCUUCAGUAGCUUAGGGCCUCAUCCAGCCCUGCCCCUGCCCUUGCUCUCUUUUCACAUUCGACCUGCUACUUAUUCCUUCUCCAUACUCUGCCUGAACUGCCACACUUUUUCUCUCCUCUUCCACAGAGCACUGCGGUUCAAGGAGUUGCUGGCGCUGUCAGUGGUUCAACCAAAAGGCUAUCACACGGCUACGGCAUGAGGCAAGCAAGUGAAGAGGCACUGGGCAGGCUGUGCCACUGAGGAGUCACAGAACCAUAGAAUUGUAGGGUUGAGAGGAACCACAAGUAACAUCUAGUCCAACCCCCUGCAGUGUAGGAAUCUUUUGC